UCCUCGAUGGUCUAACGGUCAUGAUUUCCGCUUGUCAAUCUAACCUGGGAACAAGCGCGGGAGACCUGGGUUCGACUCCCAGUCGGGGAG
rfam:Aspergillus kawachii IFO 4308 DNA, contig: scaffold00014.